rnacentral:rRNA from 1 species
GACGAACGCUGGCGGCGUGCUUAACACAUGCAAGUCGAACGGAAAGGCCCUGCUUUUGUGGGGUGCUCGAGUGGCGAACGGGUGAGUAACACGUGAGUAACCUGCCCUUGACUUUGGGAUAACUUCAGGAAACUGGGGCUAAUACCGGAUAGGAGCUCCUGCUGCAUGGUGGGGGUUGGAACGUUUCGGCGGUUGGGGAUGGACUCGCGGCUUAUCAGCUUGUUGGUGGGGUAGUGGCUUACCAAGGCUUUGACGGGUAGCCGGCCUGAGAGGGUGACCGGCCACAUUGGGACUGAGAUACGGCCCAGACUCCUACGGGAGGCAGCAGUGGGGAAUAUUGCACAAUGGGCGGAAGCCUGAUGCAGCAACGCCGCGUGCGGGAUGACGGCCUUCGGGUUGUAAACCGCUUUCGCCUGUGACGAAGCGUGAGUGACGGUAAUGGGUAAAGAAGCACCGGCUAACUACGUG